AACGAACGCUGGCGGCAGGCUUAACACAUGCAAGUCGAACGGGUGUAGCAAUACAUCAGUGGCAGACGGGUGAGUAACACGUGGGAACCUUCCUAGGGGUACGGAACAACUCAGGGAAACUUGAGCUAAUACCGUAUACGUCCGUAAGGAGAAAGAUUCAUCGCCCCUAGACGGGCCCGCGUCGGAUUAGGUAGUUGGUGGGGUAACGGGCCUACCAAGCCUACGAUCCGUAGCUGAUCUGAGAGGAUGAUCAGCCACACUGGGACUGAGACACGGCCCAGACUCCUACGGGAGGCAGCAGUGGGGAAGUCUUGGACAAUGGGCGGCAAGCCUGAUCCAGCCAUGCCGCGUGAGUGAAGAAGGCCUUAGGGUUGUAAAGCUC
rnacentral:rRNA from 1 species